rnacentral:rRNA from 1 species
AGAGUUUGAUCCUGGCUCAGGACGAACGCUGGCGGCGUGCUUAACACAUGCAAGUCGAACGGUAAGGCCCCAGCUUGCUGGGGUACACGAGUGGCGAACGGGUGAGUAACACGUGGGUGACCUGCCCCGCACUUCGGGAUAAGCCUGGGAAACUGGGUCUAAUACCGGAUAGGACCGCACCGUGAGGGUGUGGUGGAAAGUUUUUCGGUGUGGGAUGGGCCCGCGGCCUAUCAGCUUGUUGGUGGGGUAAUGGCCUACCAAGGCGGCGACGGGUAGCCGGCCUGAGAGGGUGGACGGCCACAUUGGGACUGAGACACGGCCCAGACUCCUACGGGAGGCAGCAGUGGGGAAUAUUGCACAAUGGGCGGAAGCCUGAUGCAGCGACGCCGCGUGGGGGAUGACGGCCUUCGGGUUGUAAACUCCUUUCACCAUCGACGAAGGUUUUCUGACGGUAGAUGGAGAAGAAGCACCGGCUAACUACGUGCCAGCAGCCGCGGUAAUACGUAGGGUGCGAGCGUUGUCCGGAAUUACUGGGCGUAAAGAGCUCGUAGGUGGUUUGUCGCGUCGUCUGUGAAAUUCCGGGGCUUAACUCCGGGCGUGCAGGCGAUACGGGCAUAACUUGAGUACUGUAGGGGAGACUGGAAUUCCUGGUGUAGCGGUGAAAUGCGCAGAUAUCAGGAGGAACACCGGUGGCGAAAGGCGGGUCUCUGGGCAGUAACUGACGCUGAGGAGCGAAAGCAUGGGUAGCGAACAGGAUUAGAUACCCUGGUAGUCCAUGCCGUAAACGGUGGGCGCUAGGUGUAGGGGUCUUCCACGACUUCUGUGCCGUAGCUAACGCAUUAAGCGCCCCGCCUGGGGAGUACGGCCGCAAGGUUAAAACUCAAAGGAAUUGACGG